GUUUAUAUAGUUUAAAAAAAAACAAUACAUUUUCAUUGUAUAAAUAAUAUACUAUUUAUUUAUAAAUA
rnacentral:tRNA from 1 species